UGAGCAAUCUGCCCUUCUCUUCGGAAUAAGCGUGGGAAACCGCGUCUAAUGCCGAAUACGACCUCCUUUCGCAUGAUCGGAGGUGGAAAGCUCCGGCGGAGAAGGAUGAGCUCGCGGCCUAUCAGCUAGUUGGUGUGGGUAAUGGCCCACCAAGGCGACGACGGGUAGCCGGCCUGAGAGGGCGACCGGCCACACUGGGACUGAGACACGGCCCAGACUCCUACGGGAGGCAGCG
rnacentral:rRNA from 1 species